rnacentral:rRNA from 1 species
UGUGGGUUAGUCUCGCACGAGCGCACCCUAUCGUCUGUUGCCAGCAUUAAGUUGGGCACUCUGACGAGACUGCCCGGGUUAACCGGGAGGAAGGUGGGGAUGACGUCAAGUCCUCAUGGCCCUUAUGUCUAGGGCUACACACGUAAUACAAUGGUGCAUACAGAGGGAAGCGAACUCGCGAGGGGGAGCAAAUCUCAAAAAGUGCAUCUCAGUCCGGAUUGAAGUCUGCAACUCGACUUCAUGAAGUUGGAAUCGCUAGUAAUCGUGGAUCAGCAUGCCACGGUGAAUACGUUCCCGGGCCUUGUACACACCGCCCGUCACACCACGGGAGUGGGAUGCAAAAGAAGUAGUUAGUCUAACCUUCGGGAGGACGAUUACCACUUUGUGUUUCAUGACUGGGGUGAAGUCGUAACAAGGUAACCCUAGGGGAACCUGGGGUUGGAUCACCUCCUU